rnacentral:lncRNA from 1 species
GUCUGUGUGAGUGCAGAGCUCCCAGGUGGCCGGUGGGGGUCUCGAGCUAAGCCGUGGUUUAUUCAGCCCUCCACAUCUGGGGUCCCUGGGGCUGCUAUGUGGAGAGCGGACUGGAGGGGGCCAGGUGGCAGCAGGGAGGCUGAGGGGGGCGUCUGCAGUGAUGACCCAGGUGGGACUGUGGCACCUGGAAGGAAGGUGACAGCAGUGGAGACAGUGACAGGUUCUGGAUUCAGGGGAUGAGACAAAUACUGCAGGCGUGCCCCCCAGCCCCCACUGUCCACGGCAGACAUCACUAAACGAUCGGGCGCUCUUCCCAACGAACCUGGAUACGGCUCAGGAUCACAGCUCUCUAGGACUAAGAGUGAUUGCAAAGAGCCCUGAGAGACCCUCCUUGACCGCCUGGCCCUGUCCCCCACCUUCAGAGGAGACAACUGUCUUCCAGAAGAAGGCGUCCGCCCAAAGCCGCAGGGAAAGACCAGCGGUGCCACCCGGGACCGGAAGAGCCCCCUCGCUCCCCCUCCCCACAGCUGAGCCUCUCCAGCAACAAAAUGGCUGCAGCAGUGCUGGGCAUCACAUCUGAGUAACCCAUUGCACAGAGGAGCCUUCUCUUCUCCCUAUAUGGACUGGAUGUCCUGGCCUCAUUUAGCCAAGUGCUCAUCCCUGAAUCAAUCACUGGACAAGAGGAAUGGGCUUCAGCCAAUGAGAGCCCACCCCGGGGAUGGAAUCAGAAUGUCUUCCCCAAAACCUGUGGCAAUGUCCUCUCCCUAGUAACACUCGUCCCACCUACCCCCACCCGAUUUUUCCC